rnacentral:lncRNA from 1 species
CCGUGACCCCAGACCCAAUUUUCACCCAUUAUUUUUUUAUAAUCCAUCUCCAAUUUAAUUUCGUUCCCUUUUUUACUCUGCCUCUGCACCGCUUCUGUUGCUUUUUCUAAUUUUAUCCUUCUCCAAUUUCACUUUUUCCCCCCCGUUUUUGCCUGCCCCCCCCCCCCAGCCCCUUCGUCAUCGACGAGUUCAAGCGCAAAUACUCCAACGAGGACACGCUGAGCGUGGCGCUGCCCCACUUCUGGGAGCACUUCGAUAAGGACGGCUGGUCCAUCUGGUACGCCGAGUACCGCUACCCCGAGGAGCUCACCCAGACCUUCAUGAGCUGCAACCUCAUCACCGGCAUGUUCCAGCGCCUGGACAAGCUGCGUAAGAACGCCUUCGCCAGCGUCAUCCUGUUCGGCACCAACAACGACAGCAGCAUCUCGGGCGUCUGGGUCUUCCGCGGCCAGGAGCUGGCCUUCACGCUGUGCCCGGACUGGCAGGUGGACUACGAGUCGUACGCGUGGCGCAAGCUGGACCCCGACAGCGCCGAGUGCCGGGCGCUGGUCAGGGAGUACUUCAGCUGGGAGGGCGACUUCCAGCACGUGGGCAAGGCCUUCAACCAGGGAAAGAUCUUCAAGUGACCCCCCCCGCGUCGCGACAGGGCACGGCACGUCGCGAUAGGGCGCGAUAUGGCACAACACGUCGCGAUAUGGCAUGAUAUGUCGCGAUAUGGCACAACACGUCGCGAUAUGGCGUGAUAUGUUGUGAUACAGCACGAUAUGUCGCGAUAGGGCACGAUAUGUCGUGAUAUGGCAUGGCAUGGUAUAGUGCGGUGGGUCGUGGUAUGGCGCGGUGUCGCGUUGUGUCAUGACAUGGCAGCGUGGUGUGAUGUAGUGUGAUGUGUCACGUGUCGUCAUGUCAUGACAUGUCUUCGUGUCGCAACAUGUCUUCAUGUCACAACAUGCUGUCAUGUCAUGACAUGUUGCAGUGUCUUUGUCACGACGUGUCCUCAUGUCAUGACAUGUCAUUCUGUCACACAUCACAUCACCGUGUCAUGACAUGUCAUAGCGUGUCCUCAUGUCACGACAUGUCAUUGUCACGACUGUCAGUGUGUGUCUUCAUGUCACAUGUCAUAUCACAUGUCACAACAUGUCACCAUGUCAUGACGUCAUGCCACAACAUGCCAUCACAUUUCAUUGUCAUGACAUGUCAUCAUGUUGCAGCAUGUCACAACAUGCCAGUGUCACAAUGUGUCAUGUCGCGACAUCACAUCACUGCCAUGACGUGUUGUGUCAUGACAUCACCAUGUCGUGAUGUCACGACAUGUCACACCAUGUCACUGUGUCACAACGUCAUGUCGUGACAUGUCACCAUGUCACAACGCGUCACGAUGUCGCAACUUGUUGCCAUGUCAUGUCGUGACGUGUCACUAUAUCGCGAUAUACCCCCACACAUGUUGCUGUCGCGACAUCCCUGUCACGCCGCCGUGUCACGCCGUGGCCGUGCCGUGAUGUCACCGUCGGGACGUGCCAGUGCGUGACGUCAUGUCGUGACAUCCCCGUGUCGCGCCGUGUCCCCCGCCUGUCCCCAUGUCGCGACAUGUCGUGACGCAUCGGAGCCACACAGCCAAUAAACAGGAACGGAUCCGGCCCUGGAGGUGGUCGGGGGGGAACUGGGGGAUACUGGGAGGUACUGGGAGCCACUGGGCACCCGUGGGAGUUACUGGGCGCCAUUUGGCACCAACUGGGGGGUUCUGGGAGCAGCUGUUGGGGGUUACUGGGACUUACUGGGUGAUACUGGGAGCCACUGGGCACCAUUUGGCACCAACUGGGUGUUACUGGGAGUCCUUGGGUGCUACUGGGAGUCACUGGGGGCUAUUGAGAGUUACUGGGCACCAACUGGGUGUUACUGGGAGCUGUUGGGCGUUACUGGGAGUUACUGGGUGAUACUGGGAGCCACUGGGGGUCACUGGAGCCCAUUGGGCACCACUGGGGGCUACUGGGAGCUGUUGGGGGUUACUGGGAGCCACUGGGAGCCGAGUCGCGGGGCGCUGCUGGGCGCCAGUGGCUGUUACUGGGAGCUACUGGGCGUUACUGGGAGCCACUGGGCGUUACUGGGAGCCAGCGGGCGGCACCGGCAGGCCCCGCCCCCCCGACACCACGUGACCCAGCGCCACCGCCCUCCUGGCCCCGCCCACGGAGACCACGCCCCCUUCCAUGCCACGCCCACUGAUGCCCCGCCCCCUUCAGACCACGCCCACUGUGGGCCCCGCCCCCUCAGGCCCCGCCCCCCGGAUCUGAGUCACGGCGGGACCGGGGCGGUGGCGGGGCCGCGCCCACCAGU